UGGUGGAGUGAUUUGUCUGGUUAAUUCCGUUAACGAACGAGACCUCGACCUGCUAAACAGUUCGCCGAACCUUUUGGUUCGUGUGUGACUUCUUAGAGGGACUAUCGGUGUGUAGCCGGUGGAAGUUCGAGGCAAUAACA
rnacentral:rRNA from 1 species